GUUCUCCUUCAAGCUCCCUUAAGACCUGAGUGAGCUGUCCACAGCAAAGAAUUGAAGAGAAAACUGAUGAGUUGACAAUGUCUUAAGUAUCUGAUGAGAAGUGUAUUUUGGAUGUAUAAUGUGUGAGAACAGGAGACCAAGGACUAGAUUUGGAUUCUCUAACAGGGCAUGCAUUUCCAG
rnacentral:lncRNA from 1 species